rnacentral:sRNA from 12 species
AAUCGGCCUACUCCAUUACUGGACGUGUCCUUACAUGGUGUGCCGAGGGGAAUGCGCCUCACUAACAGCGGCAAUUUUGCCGGAAAAGUGAAAAAACAAGAUAACUGGGUAGAGUUUGGUAGGUGCCUUCUGGCAGUCGAAGAAGUCGGGCCCA